GACGAACGCUGGCGGCGUGCUUAACACAUGCAAGUCGAACGGAAAGGCCCUGCUUUUGUGGGGUGCUCGAGUGGCGAACGGGUGAGUAACACGUGAGUAACCUGCCCUUGACUUUGGGAUAACUUCAGGAAACUGGGGCUAAUACCGGAUAGGAGCUCCUGCUGCAUGGUGGGGGUUGGAAAGUUUCGGCGGUUGGGGAUGGACUCGCGGCUUAUCAGCUUGUUGGUGGGGUAGUGGCUUACCAAGGCUUUGACGGGUAGCCGGCCUGAGAGGGUGACCGGCCACAUUGGGACUGAGAAACGGCCCAGACUCCUACGGGAGGCAGCAGUGGAGAGUAUUGCACAAUGGGCGGAAGCCUGAGGCAGCAACGCCGCGUGCGGGAUGACGGCCUUCGGGUUGUAAACCGCUUUCGCCUGUGACGAAGCGUGAGUGACGGUAAUGGGUAAAGAAGCACCGGCUAACUACGUG
rnacentral:rRNA from 1 species